ACGGGAGGCAGCAGUGGGGAAUAUUGGUCAAUGGGGGGAACCCUGAACCAGCAACGCCGCGUGAAGGAAGAAGGUCUUCGGAUUGUAAACUUCUUUGACGGGGGACGAUAAUGACGGUACCCCGAAAACAAGCUACGGCUAACUACGUGCCAGCAGCCGCGGUAAUACGUAGGUGGCAAGCGUUGUCCGGAUUUACUGGGUGUAAAGGGCGCGUAGGCGGGAUAGCAAGUCAGGAGUGAAAUCUAUGGGCUUAACCCAUAAACUGCUUUUGAAACUGUUAUUCCUGAGUAUCGGAGAGGCAGGCGGAAUUCCUAGUGUAGCGGUGAAAUGCGUAGAUAUUAGGAGGAACACCAGUGGCGAAGGCGGCCUGCUGGACGACAACUGACGCUGAAGCUCGAAGGUGCGGGUAUCAAACAGGAUUAGAUACCCUGGUA
rnacentral:rRNA from 1 species